rnacentral:rRNA from 1 species
UACGAAGGGGGCUAGCGUUGCUCGGAAUUACUGGGCGUAAAGGGCGCGUAGGCGGGUCGUUAAGUUGGGGGUGAAAGCCCGGGGCUCAACCUCGGAAUUGCCUUCAAUACUGGCGACCUUGAGUAUGAGAGAGGUGUGUGGAACUCCGAGUGUAGAGGUGAAAUUCGUAGAUAUUCGGAAGAACACCAGUGGCGAAGGCGACACACUGGCUCAUUACUGACGCUGAGGCGCGAAAGCGUGGGGAGCAAACAGG